AAAGAAAUUGAGAUGGAAGAAUGAAAAAGCUUCCUACGUUGCAUUCUUUGACCCUAAUUUACCAGGUUCAGACAUAGUAAAGAUUGACAGACUGAGAGCUCUUUCUUAAUUCUAUAGGUGAUGGUGCAUGGUCGUUCUUAGUUGCUGGAGCUAUUUGUCUAGUUAAUUUCAUUAAUGAACAAGACCUCAACCUACUAACUAGCUACACAGAGGCGAUUCUCUAUGGCUAGCUUCAUAGAGGGACUAUGGCCUUUUAGGCUUAGGAAGUUUGAGGUAAUAAUAGGUCUGUGACGCCUUUAGAUGUUCUAGGUCAUACGCGUGCUAUACUAAUGUAUUCAACGAGUCUAUAGCCUUGGCCGACAAGCCCAAGUAAUCAUUGAAAUUUCAUCGUGAUGGGGAUAUAUCAUUGCAAUUGUUGGUCUUCAAUGAGGAAUUCCUAGUAAGUGCGAGUCAUAAGCUCGCAUUGACUACGUCCCUACCCUUUGUACA
rfam:Gossypium hirsutum cultivar TM-1 chromosome 12, whole genome shotgun sequence